GAUGAACGCUGGCGGCGUGCCUAAUACAUGCAAGUCGAGCGAACAGACGAGGAGCUUGCUCCUCUGACGUUAGCGGCGGACGGGUGAGUAACACGUGGAUAACCUACCUAUAAGACUGGGAUAACUUCGGGAAACCGGAGCUAAUACCGGAUAAUAUAUUGAACCGCAUGGUUCAAUAGUGAAAGACGGUUUUGCUGUCACUUAUAGAUGGAUCCGCGCCGCAUUAGCUAGUUGGUAAGGUAACGGCUUACCAAGGCAACGAUGCGUAGCCGACCUGAGAGAGUGAUCGGCCACACUGGAACUGAGACACGGUCCAGACUCCUACGGGAGUCAGCAGUAGGGAAUCUUCCGCAAAGGGCGAAAGCCUGACGGAGCAACGCCGCGUGAGUGAUGAAGGUCUUCGGAUCGUAAAACUCUGUUAUGAGGGAAGAACAAAUGUGUAAGUAACUAUGCACGUCUUGACGGUACCUAAUCAGAAAGCCACGGCUAACUACGUG
rnacentral:rRNA from 1 species